rnacentral:rRNA from 1 species
UGAGGAAUAUUGGUCAAUGGGCGAGAGCCUGAACCAGCCAAGUAGCGUGAAGGAUGAAGGUCCUACGGAUUGUAAACUUCUUUUAUACGGGAAUAAAGUUUCCUACGAGUAGGAUUUUGUAUGUACCGUAUGAAUAAGAAUCGGCUAACUCCGUGCCAGCACCCGCGGUAAUACGGAGGAUUCGAGCGUUAUCCGGAUUUAUUGGGUUUAAAGGGAUCGCAGACGGGAGAUUAAGUCAGUUGUGAAAGUUUGCGGCUCAACCGUAAAAUUGCAGUUGAUACUGGUUUCCUUGAGUGCAGUUGAGGCAGGCGGAAUUCGUGGUGUAGCGGUGAAAUGCUUAGAUAUCACGUAGAACCCCGAGUGCGAAGGCAGCUUGCUUAACUGUAACUGACGUUCAUGCUCGAAAGUGUGGGUAUCAAACA